AGUGGCGAACGGGUGAGUAAUACAUCGGAACAUGUCCUGUAGUGGGGGAUAGCCCGGCGAAAGCCGGAUUAAUACCGCAUACGAUCUGAGGAUGAAAGCGGGGGACCUUCGGGCCUCGCGCUAUAGGGUUGGCCGAUGGCUGAUUAGCUAGUUGGCGGGGUAAAGGCCUACCAAGGCGACGAUCAGUAGCUGGUCUGAGAGGACGACCAGCCACACUGGGACUGAGACACGGCCCAGACUCCUACGGGAGGCAGCAGUGGGGAAUUUUGGACAAUGGGCGAAAGCCUGAUCCAGCAAUGCCGCGUGUGUGAAGAAGGCCUUCGGGUUGUAAAUCACUUUUGUCCGGAAAGAAAUCCUUGGUUCUAAUAUAGCCGGGGGAUGACGGUACCGGAAGAAUAAGCACCGGCUAACUACGUGCCAGCAGCCGCGGUAAUACGUAGGGUGCAAGCGUUAAUCGGAAUUACUGGGCGUAAAGCGUCCGCAGGCGGUUUGCUAAGACCGAUGUGAAAUCCCCGGGCUCAACCUGGGAACUGCAUUGGUGACAGGCAGGCUAGAGUAUGGCAGAGGGGGGUAGAAUUCCACGUGUAGCAGUGAAAUGCGUAAAGAUGUGGAGGAAUACCGAUGGCGAANGCAGCCCCCUGNGCCAAUACUGACGCUCAUGCAC
rnacentral:rRNA from 1 species